rnacentral:lncRNA from 1 species
AUUAUAUCAUAAACUAUUAUUGUGAACUUUAUCUAAUUUUAUUAUGUUCAAGUUUAAUUGUUGAGAAUGGAACUCCUGUUUUUAAAAUUAGGUCUAUGAGAAAUUGGUUCUUGGUUUAUGAGUUUUUACUUUAUGAGCUCACUAUAGGAAUAAAUUAACUCAUAAAGUUAAGAACUACUUAUACAGUUUAAAAAGGCAGUUUCUCAAUAAAAGUUUUAAUAAGUUGGCUGUAUAGCUGUAUAAAAGCAUGCUAGAUUUCCAUAUGAACAAUCUAGGAUCAAAUCAGUGUCCCUCACUUCUAGAUUAUUAUUAUUUUUUUGAGGAUCAUAGUUCAACUGUUUUAUCCUUAUUCUUUAUUUAUUGGCUAACCUCAUCCAAUAAUGAGUGGCUUAAGUUGGGCUCUGGAAUUGUUUUAUGUACUUACACAUUCACCCCCUUGAUAUAUGAGCAUUCAUAUUUACGAAUGUGAAAUUUCAUUUUCAUUUUCAAUUUCAUUUUUUAUUUCAUGAAAGUUCAAAAACUCUUCAAUAAUUUUAAACAAUACGAUAGUAGAAUGUUCUAGAAGCCAGUAUAAAGUGAAAUUAUACAGUUAGUGAACAUAUUAAGGCAAUAAUUCAAGAUGGCAUUGAUUAUACCAAAUAAUUCUCGCU